UACGGGAGGGGACAGCGUUGUUCGGAAUUAUUGGGCGUAAAGGGCGCGUAGGCGGUGCGGUAAGUCACCUGUGAAACCUCUAGGCUUAACCUAGAGCCUGCAGGCGAAACUGCCGUGCUUGAGGGUGGGAGAGGUGCGUGGAAUUCCCGGUGUAGCGGUGAAAUGCGUAGAUAUCAGGAGGAACACCGGUGGCGAAGGCGGGUCUCUGGGCCGUAACUGACGCUGAGGAGCGAAAGCGUGGGGAGCGAACAGG
rnacentral:rRNA from 1 species